GGAGACUCAACUGCUUUUUAAAGCUUGUCCUAUAGUGUAGUAGCCAUUGGAUUCUCAGCCAAUUCCUGUGGGAGGUUCACUAGGCACCGGGCAGGAGAUGGAACCAAUUCUGAUGCCUCUUCCAAGGGAGGGGGUGGCCGUGUGGUUGUUCAUUGGGGCAUGCGGAUGUUGGAGGUGGGAAUUGACUCCAUUUGGAGCAGCUGGAGGAGGUGGAAUUGACUCCAUUGCGGGAUUUCUAGAUCUCCCAAAGAGUAUAGCCAAUAAUAGUAAGUGGGAGAUCUGGAUCCUGGGAGUCUGUUGGGAUGGAAGUGAUAGUAUGAUUGAGCCAGUCGUUGAAUUGGGUUUCUCUUAGGACAGAGGGAGAGAGGUGUAGAAGGCCUCCAAACCAAACAGCUCUGACCCACUCACAUCGGAGGAAAGCAUGUGUGGCAGAUUCUUCUUCUUGUUCACAUAUGGGGCAAGUGUUUUCUCUAGAGAUUUGAAAGGGGUGGGUAAGAGGUUGAAGGAUUAUGGCUAAGUGAGGUUGCUUUGUUUUUUAUUUGUCUAUAACCAGAUUUUACAGAGUAAGAGCCAGAUUCUCUGUGAGGUCAUAUGAGAGUGUCUUCCCCUGCUGAGAGUUUUAUGGGGGUUUGAAGGAUUUUUCCUAGGUCCACUAGGGGGAGCAUCUCUCUGAUUUUCUCUAUGUCCCAUCUAUGAUUAACAUCAUCCAGAAUACAGUGCACUGUAGUAUCCUCAAGGAGGGAUUCCUUGAUUAGGGGCUCACCAGAGGCCAGCCAAGAUAAAGGCCAGGGUUGUCCCAUAUCUGUAGGCUCAGGAUAUUGGCCAGUUCUGAUUUUCUCUAGGCAGGCAGAUAUUUACCUCCUAUGAAGCCAGAUUUAACAAUAUUUAUUCUUUGGCCCAAUGCUUCCGAAAAGGAAUUUAGGAUUUGUUGAAGUUGAUAGAACUCUUGAUUUGUGGAUGGCGUCAUCAAGUCCAGGUGCCUUCAUACUCCCCAAAUUAUGGACAAGCGAAGGAACAUAAGAUAAACAGGUUUGAAGGGUUAGAGGAGGUGUAGAUGUCACGAUAGAAAUCAAUGCUAGCCUUUCCAAUGUUAGUUUGGCCUUCUACCCAUUGACCUGAGGAAUCUUUGAUUCUGGAAAUUCUAUUUCUUUCUCUCCUUUGUACGGUGGUAGCAUGAAAGAAUCCGGAAUUUUUGUCCCCCCACUGUAGCCAUUUAACUCUAGAACGUUGGUUCCAAAAUAUUUCCUCUUGCUGCCAAAGCUGUGUGAUACGUUGCUGGAUGUGGUUAAUUUCUCCCCCAAUUCAUGAUUGUGGAGUUCUCACUUUGUAUCUGGAGAAGCCUGUCUUUGAGCCUUCUAAUUUCCUCAUCUGCCCUUGAAAAAUUGGCUUUGUUCCAAGAUUGGAGGUGGGUGAAAAAUUGGCUUUUUUAGUUGAUCAUUUUCUUUUUAAUCUUUGAGCCCAUUUUAUUAUAACUUUUUUUUGGCUCGUUUUUAAUAUCUUGUGUCGUGGGAUAUUUGGGUAUUUUAUUUUUUUGUCGAAGGAUAUUUGGGUUUUGAUACCACUUGUUAAACUUCAAAGUGUGGGGCCAAAAUAUUCCAUUGCACUGUUGUAUUUCUAUGGGCCAUGUAGGAUCAUUUUUGUUUAUUUGGGCUUUAGCCUUUACCAAUGAAUCUCUAUUGACCAAAAUAGAGAGCCCCAAUCUUUUUCAUUCAUGAGGGCCCAAAGGCCAGAAAACAAUUGAUGACACUGCAGGGUAACUAAGCAAUAGAAUAGAUGUUAGGGUUGCUAUAAGUAAGGAGGUACGUUAACUCAGAAAAGAGUUGAUUGUUCCCUAUGAAAUAGGGGUGUAGAGAGCUGAAUGGUGUUCUGAGGGAGCUUCCCUAGUAGUUAGGUAGCUUCUGUGUACCCUUAAAUAGCUACUGAAGAACUAAACAGUAGCUUCUGUUUAACCUUAAAAGGCUUGGGCAUAGAGCACCCAAUAAUAUAUACCAUUGUUCUCUGCUCCUUCCUCAAUUGUAUGUGAAACUAUUUUAUCUUUCUUUCAACAGUAUUGAAUUACAUAUCCAACCAAUUUCAUUUUAACAAUGUGAACUCUUGCAUUUGAUUUGAAAAAGGCUUUACAAGUGAAAAAUAUUAUAAAGGAGUAUAAGUAAUAAUAUAAGUUCAAAUUAACCUGGAAGAAACCCCAUUCUUUACAUGCAGAGUGUAGCUUCUGUAGCUCAGUUGCAUCUUCAGAUAACAAUUUAUUGAGGUCGAUGACUGGGACUUGUGGUGAAGAGGUUGAAUUAGGUGCAACAUUAAUAGGAUCUUGAUUUGGACGAAGAUAUUGCUCUGGAAGUUCAAUCAUGUGUUGCUUUGCAAGCUCCUGGACUGAAGGCACCAAUAGAGAGGUUCCAAGCUUGGACAUUUUUCUGCUUGGGUUGAUUACUACAAAAAUUGGACCCAACUUGGGCCACAAAGCUUUUAAUUUCGAUGAACUAUUUUUGUAGUGAUACUGUAAUAUAUGAACUAUUUCGAUGUACCGUAAACAAAAGGCUGCAAUAUAUGAAAAAAAUAUAUAGUGCCAUUCUAACAAA
rnacentral:lncRNA from 1 species